rnacentral:piRNA from 1 species
UGAAAUAGGAGCUUCUGCAAACUACCAGUUU